GCCGACUCGGGAUCGGGGGCGCGAACUAUCCGCCUUCCGCACCGUAUGAAAAAUCAAAGUCUUUGGGUUCUGGGGGGAGUAUGGGCGCAAGGGUGAAACUUAAAGGAAUUGACGGAAGGGCACCACCAGGCGUGGAACUUGGGGCUCAAUUUGACUCAACACGGGAAAACUUACCAGGUCCAGACAUAAUGAGGAUUGACAGAUUGAUAGCUCUUUCUUGAUUCUGUGGGUGGUGGUGCAUGGCCGUUCUUAAUUGGUGGAAUGAUUUGUCUGGUUAAUUCCGUUAACGAACGAAACCUUAACCUGGUAACUAAUCCCUGGGAUCUCUCAUCCCAGUCGGCUUCUUAGAGGGACUUUGUGAUCUAAACACAAGGAAGUUUGAAGCAAUAACAGGUCUGUGAUGCCCUUAAAUGUCCUGGGCCGCACGCGUGCUACACUGACACUUACAGCGAGUACUUCCCAGCCCCGAAAGGCGGCUGGUAAUCAGCAAUAGGUGUCGGGAUGGGAA
rnacentral:rRNA from 1 species